AUUGAACGCUGGCGGCAUGCCUAACACAUGCAAGUCGAGCGGAUGAAGGGAGCUUGCUCCUGGAUUCAGCGGCGGACGGGUGAGUAAUGCCUAGGAAUCUGCCUGGUAGUGGGGGAUAACGUCCGGAAACGGGCGCUAAUACCGCAUACGUCCUGAGGGAGAAAGUGGGGGAUCUUCGGACCUCACGCUAUCAGAUGAGCCUAGGUCGGAUUAGCUAGUUGGUGGGGUAAAGGCCUACCAAGGCGACGAUCCGUAACUGGUCUGAGGGGAUGAUCAGUCACACUGGAACUGAGACACGGUCCAGACUCCUACGGGAGGCCGCAGUGGGGAAUAUUGGACGAUGGGCGAAAGCCUGAUCCAGCCAUGCCGCGUGUGUGAAGAAGGUCUUCGGAUUGUAAAGCACUUUAAGUUGGGAGGACGGGCAGUAAGUUAAUACCUUGCUGUUUUGACGGUACCAACAGAAUAAGCACCGGCUAACUUCGUG
rnacentral:rRNA from 1 species